AGUGAACGCUGGCGGUAGGCCUAACACAUGCAAGUCGAACGGCAGCACAGUAAGAGCUUGCUCUUACGGGUGGCGAGUGGCGGACGGGUGAGGAAUACAUCGGAAUCUACUUUUUCGUGGGGGAUAACGUAGGGAAACUUACGCUAAUACCGCAUACGACCUACGGGUGAAAGCAGGGGAUCUUCGGACCUUGCGCGAUUGAAUGAGCCGAUGUCGGAUUAGCUAGUUGGCGGGGUAAAGGCCCACCAAGGCGACGAUCCGUAGCUGGUCUGAGAGGAUGAUCAGCCACACUGGAACUGAGACACGGUCCAGACUCCUACGGGAGGCAGCAGUGGGAAAUAUUGGACAAUGGGCGCAAGCCUGAUCCAGCCAUACCGCGUGGGUGAAGAAGGCCUUCGGGUUGUAAAGCCCUUUUGUUGGGAAAGAAAAGCAGCAGGUUAAUACCCCGCUGUUCCGACGGUACCCAAAGAAUAAGCACCGGCUAACUUCGUG
rnacentral:rRNA from 1 species